rnacentral:rRNA from 1 species
CCUACGGGAGGCAGCAGUGGGGAAUAUUGGACAAUGGGCGCAAGCCUGAUCCAGCCAUGCCGCGUGAGUGAUGACGGCCUNUAGGGUUGUAAAGCUCUUUUCUCCGGGACGAUAAUGACGGUACCGGAGGAAUAAGCCCCGGCUAACUUCGUGCCAGCAGCCGCGGUAAU